CCUACGGGCGGCAGCAGUGAGGAAUAUUGGUCAAUGGACGAGAGUCUGAACCAGCCAAGUAGCGUGAAGGAUGACUGCCCUAUGGGUUGUAAACUUCUUUUAUAUGGGAAUAAACUGUUCCACGUGUGGGAUUUUGUAUGUACCAUAUGAAUAAGGAUCGGCUAACUCCGUGCCAGCAGCCGCGGUAAUACGGAGGGUCCGAGCGUUAUCCGGAUUUAUUGGGUUUAAAGGGAGCGUAGGUGGAUUGUUAAGUGAGUUGUGAAAGUUUGCGGCUCAACCGUGAAAGUGCGGUUGAAACUGGAAGUCUUGAGUGCACUAGAGGUGGGCGGAAUUCGUGGUGUAGCGGUGAAAUGCUUAGAUAUCACGAAGAACUCCGAUUGCGAAGGCAGCUUACUGGACUGCAACUGACACUGAGGCUCGAAAGUGUGGGUAUCAAACAGGAUUAGAUACCCGGGUAGUC
rnacentral:rRNA from 1 species